GCUUAAUAUUAAAAUUUUAUUUAAUUGAAUUUUAUAUUAUAAAAAUUAAAUAAUUGAGUUUAUUUUAUUGGGGCGAUAAAGGUAAAAUGUUCACUAACUGUUAAUAUCUUAAAUACAUUUAUAAAUGAUUAAAAUUUUAGAGGAUCCUAAAUAAAGAUUAAAAGUUUAAGUU
rnacentral:rRNA from 1 species